CAAAAAAUUUAAGCCAAUUUUUUGGGUUUUCUUUUAUUUCCCACCAAAAAAAACAACGAUUCCCUUUUCAUUAGGGUUCUUAUCAUUCGUCUCUGUCACCUCCUCGAGUCUCAUCCCUGCGUUUCCCCUUUGCUCGAUCUCGAGCUCCGACCACCACUCUGUGGUCCCCACUCGCCCGCAAUCGAACACGGUGGCGCCUCUUGUCCACUCUCGCCGCCGUGUCUCUGCUCAUCAAUCCGCCGUGCUCUGCUUCACACCGCAACAGUCUCGCCGUCUUCGUCACGUCGGAGCUCUCAUCCAUCGUCCAUCUCUGAGUCCGUGAUCAAACCACAACACGAUAUCACCUGCUCCAAAUCAAGCUUCUCUGGUGCGUUCUUGCUUCACAACCGGCAUCUCCGUCUUGUUUCUUUGUCGUCACCGGAAUCAUGCCACACUGUCGGGAUCGAAGUGCAGAAAGCAACAAUGGUGAUCUUUAAACUAUUUGCAAAUAUGGUCCUUCAUCUUUGUAGAGUUUUGUUUUUGCCCCAAGCCUUUACCAUGUGCCAGUGAAAGGAAACCUUGUGAGUUCAGGACAAUGGUGGUAACAGAUGCUGAAGGUCAUCUCUUGGGGAGAUUAAUUGUGGAACUUUACUGCAAAGUUGUAGCCGAAUGAGCAGUCUUCUUGAACAACUGUGGCAACAAAAAGAAGAGAGAGUAAGAGAGUUCUCUAAUGUGCAAUCACAAAUUGAGAAGAUAUCCGGAGAGAUUGCUGGUGGUUUCUGUAAUGAGGUUCCUAUAUCCUUAGCAAUCUUAAAACAACUAAGAUCAAUGAAGUUAAAACUUAUAAUUAGAGAUACAUGAUGCAGAGUUCGUGAAGACAUGCGAGAGAGGUGGAAAGACUUGAUGUGUGUUUUAUAAAAUUAAUGAAUAGAAUUGUGAGUUUAAGAUUUUUUGUUAUAUUAGUAUGGUCUUUGUAGAAAGUGAAAUGUGAUUGAUUAUAUGAUUAACUGUAAUCGAUUAUAUUUGAGGUCAGUUCAUGGA